rnacentral:rRNA from 1 species
AUUGAACGCUGGCGGCAGGCCUAACACAUGCAAGUCGAACGAGUGGCGGACGGGUGAGUAAUGUCUGGGAAACUGCCUGAUGGAGGGGGAUAACUACUGGAAACGGUAGCUAAUACCGCAUACCAUCAGAUGUGCCCAGAGGGGAUUAGCUAGUUGUUGGGGUAACGGUUCACCAAGGCGACGAUCCCGAGCUGGUCUGAGAGGAUGACCGGCCACACUGGGACUGAGAUACGGUCCAGACUCCUACGAGAGGCAGCAGUGGGGAAUAUUACGCAAUGGGCGCAAGCCUGAUGAAGCGAUGCCGCGUGUAUGAAGAAGGCCUUCGGGUUGUAAAGUACUUUCAGCAGGGAGGCGUUACCCGCAGAAGAAGCACCGGCUAACUCCGUGCCAGCCGCCGCGGUAAUUC